rnacentral:rRNA from 1 species
CACGUAGGGUGCGAGCGUUGUCCGGAAUUAUUGGGCGUAAAGAGCUCGUAGGCGGCUUGUCACGUCGGGUGUGAAAGCCCGGGGCUUAACCCCGGGUCUGCAUUCGAUACGGGCUAGCUAGAGUGUGGUAGGGGAGAUCGGAAUUCCUGGUGUAGCGGUGAAAUGCGCAGAUAUCAGGAGGAACACCGGUGGCGAAGGCGGCAUCCUGGACCGGCAUUGACGCUGAGGCGCGAAAGCUAGGGGAGCAAACGGG